rnacentral:rRNA from 1 species
AGCGAACGCUGGCGGCAGGCCUAACACAUGCAAGUCGAACGAACCCUUCGGGGUUAGUGGCGGACGGGUGAGUAACACGUGGGAACGUGCCUUUAGGUUCGGAAUAACUCAGGGAAACUUGUGCUAAUACCGAAUGUGCCCUUCGGGGGAAAGAUUUAUCGCCUUUAGAGCGGCCCGCGUCUGAUUGACUAGUUGGUGAGGGAAUGGCUCACCAAGGGUACGAUCAGUAUAUGGUCUGAGAGGAUGACAAGCCACAUUGGGAAUGAGACACGGCCAAAACUCUGACGGGAGGCAGCAGUGGGGAAUCUUGCGCAAUGGGCGAAAGCCUGACGCGGCCAUGCCGCGUGGAUGAUGAAGGUCUUAGGAUUGUAAAAUCCUUUCAACGGUGAAGAUAAUGACUGUAGCCGGAGAAGAAGCACCGGCUAACUUCGUGCCAGCCGCCGCAGUAAAAC